rnacentral:rRNA from 1 species
UACCGGAUCUUGUACGGCGAGUGAGCGGCAAAAGCUCAAAUUUGAAAUCUGGCACCUUCGGUGUCCGAGUUGUAAUUUGAAGAAGGUAACUUUGGAGUUGGCUCUUGUCUAUGUUCCUUGGAACAGGACGUCACAGAGGGUGAGAAUCCCGUGCGAUGAGAUGCCCAAUUCUAUGUAAAGUGCUUUCGAAGAGUCGAGUUGUUUGGGAAUGCAGCUCUAAGUGGGUGGUAAAUUCCAUCUAAAGCUAAAUAUUGGCGAGAGACCGAUAGCGAACAAGUACAGUGAUGGAAAGAUGAAAAGAACUUUGAAAAGAGAGUGAAAAAGUACGUGAAAUUGUUGAAAGGGAAGGGCUUGAGAUCAGACUUGGUAUUUUGCGAUCCUUUCCUUCUUGGUUGGGUUCCUCGCAGCUUACUGGGCCAGCAUCGGUUUGGAUGGUAGGAUAAUGACUAAGGAAUGUGGCUCUACUUCGGUGGAGUGUUAUAGCCUUGGUUGAUACUGCCUGUCUAGACCGAGGACUGCGUCUUUGACUAGGAUGCUGGCAUAAUGAUCUUAAGCCACCCGUCUAAAAAACGGGGGACAA